ACUUUUGGACCUCAGAUCAG
rnacentral:rRNA from 1 species